rnacentral:lncRNA from 10 species
CCUGUGCCCUGCCUUUUCCCCAUGCUCUUAAGGCAUUUAUUCGGUAAGAGAGAUAGCGGGAAAGGCUCUAGAUGGGGCUUUUUGCCUCUCCGGCAGUGGAGGCUACCCCUCCAGUCUCCCAAGCACAUGGGCCAAGGGAAGUUUUCUGUGGUCUCUCGCCCUGCCCCUUUGGCAUUAUACUCUCUCAUUAGUUAGUACGUGGUGAUGGUGGUGGAGAAGAGCCUGUGAAGUUGUACAAACACUCUUUAUGUCUGUGGCUCCCAGGGGCUCCUAUACUUUCAGCCUAUCAAUCAAGACCACAUCCUUUCAAAAGCUUAUAGAGCAGAAGUAGACUCCUACCACGCGUUCAGCUGGUGUCCUUUGACUGCUGCUUUGCUCAGUUCCACCUUGGAUGGCUUGCACUGCAUUUAACGGUUGGAAGUUAGACUUUUUGUAAAUCUACUCAUUUAUAUCAAGUUGAAGAGAGAUUUCCCUGAACACAGAAGAAGGAGGGCUUAUGAAGAUUCUUUUUUCUUUAUUUUCUCUUUUGUUUUGGUAAGUGGCCUUAAGGAAUCUAUAAUUCUUCAAAUUCCAUGGAAGAGAAACUUAACUAAAACAUUCAGCAUAUUUCUUCCAGUGAUUUCCCAAGUCAUCUGCUAUUUUGCUAAUAAAUAUCUUAUCACUUUGUCUCUUUGUCUGAUAGUACAUAUUUAUAUUCCUUUUACCCCGUUAGCCUGGAACUUCCUCAUGGGUAGGAGUUGUAACUUAUCCAUACUUACUGUACUUAGGGCAGAGCUUUAACAUAAAGGAGAUAUUUAAUAAAUUUUUUGGUGUGUGUGUGUAUUCAUACAGUUUUUAAAUACAUAUAUAGAUUUAGGGGGUACUUGUACGAAUUUGUCACAUAGCUAAAUUGCAUAAUGGUGAGAUUUAGGCUUCUAGUGUGCCUGUCACCCAGAUAGUGAAUAUUACGCCCAGUAGGUAAUUUUUCAGCCCUUACUCCCCUCUCUUCCCUCACUGCUUUUGGCAUCCCUAGUGCCUGUUAUUUCCCUUUGUAUGUCCAUGUGUACCUAUCACUUAGCUCCUAGUAAUAAAUAGAUGUGAUAUUUGAUUUUCUGUUUCUGAGUUAUUUCAUUUAGGAUAAUGGCCUCCAGCUCCACUCAUGUUGCUGCAAAAGACAUACUUUCAUUCUUUCUUUUAUGGCUGCAGAGUAUCCAAUUGUGUACGUGUUCCACAUAUUCUUUAUCCAGUCAUCCACUGAUGGACUUACACAAUUUUGUUGCACAGGUCAUUCGCCCGUGCACCAUUACCAAAAGAUCCUUUUCCUGAAAUAAGGCCACUCUAAAAACUCUGAGGAGCUGGGUUUUUGAGUUUCUCAUCCAGAUCAGGUACCUCUGUGACUUAGGAUCUGAACACUUCCUUCUUUACAAUUGAAAGUUUGAGGGGCCUGAGCUCAUUCAUUCUGUUUUUGUCUUUCAGUGGGGCUGCACCAGAAACAUUCUAGUAUUUUAGUAGAGUUUCAACUUUUUUAAAAAAAAGACAUCUAUCUUGGGAGCAAUGGCUUUUUCAUGUACAUUGAGAGGUGUUUUUUUCUCAGUAGAUUUGAGAGUUGAUGGCUUAUUUCCCUAUCCUCUCCCUAUGUCUGUCUAGAGAUGAUCCAUGUCCCUGAGUUGGGAUAAUAUCGUCCACAUGCCCACCCAGACUGUGAUUAUUGACGUUAGUGUGUGCACAAAGGUUAACUGUUGUUCCCAGAAAUCUCAAGAGGAUUUGUGGGAUUUAGUAAUCCUGGAAUCCUGAGCUUAGUCUCUUGGAGAUGGAUCUUACAUGAGGGAAAGCAGCUGUGUUAUCUGUAGGUGGAAAGAUCCACAUUUAGCUUAAAUCAAGUAUUAGUUGCACUAACUCUUCAGCAUUAUAUUGACAUCAGAUUUUCACGUUAAUUCUGUCUGUCUUUCUCACACACACAUUCCCGUUCAUUCUGGCUUUAUAGCAGUCGGCUGAAUAGUACUCUUUUCUUUGUCAGAAAAGCAAAACAUUUGUUAUGGUGCUUAAUCAAAUCCCAGGAUGGAUGUUUGUAUGCCUUUGAGUUCUUACAGUGAAAUGUGAUAGUUAACAUUUUGGCCUAUCUGAGAGGAUGCUAGCGAAUGUAAAGAACAAAUACAUUGAUUAUUAUUAUAGCUAUCUGUGGAUGUUUCUGCCAGAAAUCUUUAUAUUCCACAAGUUUUUUGUCAUAUAAACUAUUUCAACCAUUGUUAGCCAUCUAUAUAAAAG